GACAGAGAGAGGCUGAUGAGAGAAACCUGCAGCAGGAAGAAAGCAGUGCUGGGCAGUCAGAAGCAGAAGUGAUCUUUCCAACAUCAAGGAGACUAGAGGCACCUUUGCAUUCAGCUUGGCUAUACCACCAUGGAUGCCAUCUAACCAAGAGGAACUGCUUGAUAACCCAGAGCCCAGCUUCCAUAAGCAGACUGUCUUAUAUGAAUGUAGGCUUCACCACACUACAUAUCACCUGAGUGACUCCAAGACAUGAAGAAAUAAGCUGGGAUGGAGAUGGAAGCUGCCUCCCUGCUGGCUAGCUUUACUGGUGCCAGAAGGAACUACACAUGCUGCUGGGGUAAGGACUGUUAUCGAUAGUCAUAUUCAGAUGUGGGCCUGUGGACAACCUGUGCUACAUCACCAAGCUGCCAAUCCAGAUGUGCCCACUGGUGUAAUAACCACUGGCACGGUUAUUCUCUGGUGACCAAGUGCUUUCUUCCUGGAUUUAAGGCCCACUCCACAGAUGGAAACUCACAGGUUACUAUAAAUUUGGUCCAAAACCCAUGGUUGGGGAGGUCAUAGGCCCUAGUGAAGAAGCUUUUGCUGUUGUUUUGCUAAACAGAGAUACUAUGAUGGUGAAAUUGCCUUCAAAUAUUUUUUAUUACCAUAAAAUAUUUGUGCUGUCAGUUUUGGUCAAAGAUGCUUCAUUUUGCAGAGAGCAGUAGUUAUUACAGAGACUCAUAACUGGUCGAAGUGCUGAGAGAAAGGUGACUGCUGAAUGCUCAGCACUAAAUCAGCAUCUACAUUGAUUUCCACAAGGUUCAAGAACCAUCAGGGAAGAGAGACUGUAAGAGCUGGAGUAAGACGUGGGGUGCUGUCAUCUGGGUAUGUCAAGGCCAUUGCACUCCUGAACACUCAGCAACUGUCAUCAAGAUUGGACCCCUGAAGAUACCAACACGGGAGGGGUUGAGCUCAUGAGACCCUGAACACUUUCAGGCAGUUAAUGGUUGCUGAGGAUAAAGAGACUUUCUUUAGUGAUAAAGCCAUUAUGUAGUGACUGGUAAGUUGUCCAUGUUCCCGUAAAUAGCCUUUCACUCAUGCCCCUGCAUAUAGCCCUAAUUAAACUCUUGGUUCACAAUGAUGACAGUAACAACAACAAAAAGCUAUAAAAAAAUAAUUCUUCCUCCUCACAGCCAACCUGUAGGCUCAUGAGAGGAAUCAUGUAGGACUUAUGCAUACUCCUUUUAGCAGCAAAGCUACUGCCAGACAUCUGUGGACCAUUUUCACUAGAGGAGUCACCAGAAGAUUAGGCUAAAAGGUGUUCCUUUUAGCUAAAGCUAAGCAGUGGCAGCACACACCUUUAAUCCUAGCACUCAGAUGCAGAGGCAGGCAAUUUCUGAUUUUGAGGCCAGCCUGGUCUACAGAAUGAGUU